GUCUUCUGAAAGAGCAGCCAGUGC
rnacentral:piRNA from 1 species